ACAAAAUCCAAGAUGUAAUGUGUUAGGAAAUUUAAAUUUACACAAUUUCCUUAUUUUUUUUCUUACCUUCAAUUUCAUUAAAUAUUUCAAAUCUGUUCAAAUUAGUUGCCAAGCCUAUCCAAGUUCGUCGAAUGUACUAAUUGAAUUGUUGUAGUUGCUAGCAAAUGUAGGUAUCCCUUAACCAUACUUCCCAAAAGAAAGUUGCUUAAAAUGUUAGCUGGUUCUUCAUUAUUAGACUCUCUAUUGAAAACAAGAUCAUGUUUUAUUAAAAUUAGUUCAAGUUGUGAUAUCUUGCCUUAUAGGUUGCCUAAGACAUUGGCUGGACAUAUAACUAUACUGCUGAUAGUGGAAGAGUAGUAAAAAGAAGGCAUGGAAAGAAAGAUGUGGAAAGCAUAUUAUUUUAUGUUUUGUUAAUUAUGUUUAAUUGCACAUUGUUUUUCAAGGAAUAAGACUUGCUAUUUCCCUUUUUAAGGUUUAAUAUUUGCCUCAGCUUUAAUGGAUCAAGCCAAACAUACAGGUGAAUUGGACCUUGUCACAAUCUUAUUGUGGAUGAGGUUUAUGGCUACAAGGCAGCUCAUAUGGAACAAAAACUAAAAUGUGAAACCACGGUACAAAUUGGAUUAAUUGACUUGAGAUUAUGAGUGGUCAGCUUUUCUAUACAAAAUUUUUGCUAUCAUGAAUGAUGAUCAUAUAAGUGCAAUCCUUAAGUAGCUUUCAUUUGCAACAGAUCAAAUUGUUGUACGCAUUGAUCGAUUAUAUUAAAAGUGACUUUGACAUUAGCAUCUCCUAGAAGUCUCUAAAUGAGAAUGGAAUAACAAAUGAGGGCCUCUUAAGUUAUGAUCGUGCUAUCCAUUAUGAACCCAAUUUUAGAAGAGACCAGAAGGAUGGUCUUUUGCGUGGUCUUGGACUUUAUAGGAGAACCUUAAAGGUUUGCAGCUUAAACCCUCAUAGUUGUAUUCAUUAUAAUGCUCUUGAUUUGUCAUCAUCACUUUUUUGCAUGAACUGGACAUUAUAAUAGACAUCAUUCACACAUUGGUUCUACGUUCCUUACCUAAUCUUUUAUCUUAUUAUCAUAGAGAUUCUUGUUUUGCUUUUGAGGCACGAGUUUAUGUUUCAUUUGCUAUCUCUUAUGCUAAAUUAAGUUUCUUGCGUUGUAUUGAUAAUUUGAGAUUUAUGCAUAAGUGGUUCAUUAUAGUGCAGAUCUUGAGUCUGCUAUUUCAAAUUGCAUGGGCUAUAGAGCAGAGGUAAUAUUAGAAAUAAGGUAAAAUUGCCAGGACAAAGUAUUAUUGUCAGCAUUUGACAAGAGCUUUCUCUGUGUUACAAGGUGACGGUUUCAUGGUUGGGGUGCAAAUAAAUUCUGUAGCUAGCUUGCCAUCAGGAUUUCUAGAAUUGCUUUGGUUUGUCCUUGAACAUGUUGAAGACAUAAACAUAGAAGCCUUGCUUAAGUGCUCUUCACUGGUUGGUAUCUCUAUCACUUGGCGUGGUGGAUGAUCUCUGUUCUAUUUAUUAAGUGCAUGAAUUCCUCAUUAGGCUUCCUAUACAUCUCGUAGAAAAACAUGUAUUUCGUCACUCUUGUUCUAGAAAACCUUGCACUUUCGUUAGAUGACGAGGAGGAUUUGGUCUAUUGUUUGAAGGUAAAGUACUUUCUGCCAUAUAGAGUUAUGAUUGCUCUUAUUUCUUAAGGGCAUCAAUAGAUUCUAAGUUCAUAAAUUUCUUGGGGCAAAUUCGAUUAAUGAUAACUUAGAUCAAAUGUUUUUUCAUGGAGGUAUUUGAUUCUUUGGCUUAAUGUAUU